rnacentral:rRNA from 1 species
AAUCAACGCUGGCGGCGUGCCUCAGACAUGCAAGUCGAACGCGAAAGGUUCCUUCGGGGGACCGAGUAGAGUGGCGCACGGGUGAGUAACACGUAGGUAAUUUGCCUUUGGGUGGGGAACAACUCAGGGAAACUUGAGCUAAUACCGCAUAAUGCAGCGGCUCGACAUCGAGACAGUUGUUAAAGCGGGGGAUUCGCAAGAACCUCGCGCCUAAAGAGAAGCCUGCGGCAGAUAGCUAGUUGGUAAGGUAAUGGCUUACCAAGGCGACGAUCUGUAACCGGCCUGAGAGGGCGGUCGGUCACACUGACACUGACAUACGGGUCAGACUCCUACGGGAGGCAGCAGUCGGGAA